rnacentral:rRNA from 1 species
AGAUGAACGCUGGCGGCGUGCCUAACACAUGCAAGUCGAACGAAGCGUGCGGAUGGAAUUUCUUCGGAGAGGAAGCCUGCAUGACUGAGUGGCGGACGGGUGAGUAACGCGUGGGCAACCUGCCCUGCACAGGGGGACAACAGCCGGAAACGGCUGCUAAUACCGCAUAAGCGCACAGCUUCGCAUGGAGCGGUGUGAAAAGCUGCGGCGGUGCAGGAUGGGCCCGCGUCUGAUUAGCUGGUUGGCGGGGCAACGGCCCACCAAGGCGACGAUCAGUAGCCGGCCUGAGAGGGUGGACGGCCACAUUGGGACUGAGACACGGCCCAGACUCCUACGGGAGGCAGCAGUGGGGAAUAUUGCACAAUGGGGGAAACCCUGAUGCAGCGACGCCGCGUGAGCGAAGAAGUAUUUCGGUAUGUAAAGCUCUAUCAGCAGGGAAGAAAUUGACGGUACCUGAGUAAGAAGCUCCGGCUAAAUACGUGCCAGCAGCCGCGGUAAUACGUAUGGAGCAAGCGUUAUCCGGAUUUACUGGGUGUAA